rnacentral:rRNA from 1 species
GACGAACGCUGGCGGCGUGCCUAACACAUGCAAGUCGAACGAAGUGGCGAACGGGUGAGUAAUACGUGAGUAACCUGCCCUCCUUUUUGGGUUAAGCCUUGGAAACGGGGUGUAAUACCGAAUAAAGGGGGAUGGGCUCGCGGCCUAGCAGCUGGUUGGGGGGGUGAUGGCCUACCAAGGCGGUGACGGGUAGCCGGCCUGAGAGGGUGACCGGGGAAAUUGGGACCGGGAUACGGCCCUGCGUGCUACGGGAGGCGGCAGUGUUCGGUAUUGCACGAUAGGCGGAGGCCAGAUGCACCGGCGCGCCGAGGGGGGUGAAGGGUUUCGGGUUGUAGACGUCUUUGGCGAUCGAACGGGUAGGUGGAGAAGAAGCGCCGGCUAACUACGUGCCAGCAGCCGCGGUAAUUC